GUGCCAGCAGCCGCGGUAAUACGGAGGGUGCAAGCGUUAUCCGGAUUCACUGGGUUUAAAGGGUGCGUAGGCGGCUAUAUAAGUCAGUGGUGAAAGCCCGCAGCUCAACUGUGGAAUUGCCAUUGAAACUGUAUAGCUUGAAUCUGGUUGAAGUGGGCGGAAUACAUCAUGUAGCGGUGAAAUGCUUAGAUAUGAUGUAGAACACCGAUUGCGAAGGCAGCUCACUAAGCCAACAUUGACGCUGAGGCACGAAAGCGUGGGUAGCGAACAGGAUUAGAUACCCCCGUAGUCC
rnacentral:rRNA from 1 species